rnacentral:rRNA from 1 species
UGUUGACCUCGGAUCAGGUAGGAAUACCCGCUGAACUU